rnacentral:lncRNA from 1 species
GUCCCUCCGUCCUCUUCUUUCUGUAGGUCCCUUUGAAACCAUCCCUGAGAAUGUACUUAACCAAACUGCCAACAGGAGAGUUGUGGUGAUUAGCUCCUGGUCAUCCCCAUAAUGCCUCGGGUUGCCAUGCACAUCAUCUGGGGAGCAAGGUGGAGCUGGACCAUUUCCCACCAGCAGCCAGUCACCCAUCUCCCUAUGUAGAGCUUUAGCUCUGAGCAGCUUGGGGCCUUCCUCUGGCCAACAAACCUCAGAAUUGAAAGUUCCUUUAAUUAAAGAGUAUCCAAAGGUAAGAAAUCAUCCUCUGGAUGAUAUCACUGUCAUGAUAUCUUUCAGUU